rnacentral:rRNA from 1 species
GACGAACGCUGGCGGCGUGCCUAAUACAUGCAAGUAGAACGCUGAAGGAGGAGCUUGCUUCUCUGGAUGAGUUGCGAACGGGUGAGUAACGCGUAGGUAACCUGCCUGGUAGCGGGGAUAACUAUUGGAAACGAUAGCUAAUACCGCAUAAUAUUGACUAUUGCAUGAUAGUCAGUUGAAAGGUGCAACUGCACCACUACCAGAUGGACCUGCGUUUGAUUAGCUAGUUGGUGGGGUAACGGCUCACCAAGGCGACGAUACAUAGCCGACCUGAGAGGGUGAUCGGCCACACUGGGACUGAGACACGGCCCAGACGCCGACGGGAGGCAGCAGUAGGGAAUCUUCGGAAAUGGACGGAAGUCUGACCGAGCAACGCCGCGUGAGUGAAGAAGGUUUUCGGAUCGUAAAGCUCUGUUGUAAGAGAAGAACGAGUGUGAGAGUGGAAAGCUCACACUGUGACGGUAUCUUACCAGAAAGGGACGGCUAACUACGUG